UAGCAUCGUGGCCACGACGGUCGGCGAA
rnacentral:sRNA from 1 species